AAUUCAUCAAUUCAUCCAUUUGUACUGUUAAAAACUAGAGUGAUUGAAGAAAUAACUAGACAGUAACAUGUGACAUGCUAUGUGUACCUCAUGUUGACAUUCAGGGACCAAUUUUUAAUGAUAGAAAUGAGAGAAAUUUUUAAUA
rfam:Gossypium raimondii Chr09_contig_1751, whole genome shotgun sequence.